UUGAACGCUGGCGGCAGGCUUAACACAUGCAAGUCGAGCGGUAACAGGAAUUAGCUUGCUAAUUUGCUGACGAGCGGCGGACGGGUGAGUAACGCGUAGGAAUCUGCCUGGUAGUGGGGGACAACAUGUGGAAACGCAUGCUAAUACCGCAUACGCCCUACGGGGGAAAGGAGGGGAUCUUCGGACCUUUCGCUAUCAGAUGAGCCUGCGUGAGAUUAGCUAGUUGGUGGGGUAAAGGCUCACCAAGGCGACGAUCUCUAGCUGGUCUGAGAGGAUGAUCAGCCACACUGGGACUGAGACACGGCCCAGACUCCUACGGGAGGCAGCAGUGGGGAAUAUUGGACAAUGGGCGCAAGCCUGAUCCAGCCAUGUCGCGUGUGUGAAGAAGGCCUUCGGGUUGUAAAGCACUUUCAGAAGUGAGGAAGGGUGUGUAGUUAAUACCUACAUAUCUUGACGUUAGCUUCAGAAGAAGCACCGGCUAACUCUGU
rnacentral:rRNA from 1 species